rnacentral:lncRNA from 1 species
UAUAAUUUAAAUAGAAGAAUGGUCGUUGUCCUUUGUUUUUCAAUGAUUGAUCAAAAGUGCAUUAGUUUAACAUGAAAAUGGUAUUUACUUUCAAAACUUUAGAAGAAAGUAAAGGAGAAAAGCUCCUAUAAUUUACAAAGAAUAAGUCUAUUGCUAACUCAUGAAGAAGAAAAGAUCUGGAUAAUCAUCAUCAUUGGAGCCUAGACGUUACGUUUAUGAAUAUAUCUUCAGGACAAGGGAUGGUUAAGCCACCCAUCGGAUGAUCAAACCCAAACUCUUCCUCGGAUUUACUGAGUAGCGCUUGAAAAGAAGGCUGGCUCAAGUAUGAGAUUGGCACCACAUAGAAAGACCAGUGAAUAUAAUGUGUUGAAAAGUCUUUGAAACUUGUGGUCUUUGAAGCGUGGGACAGAGUAGAACAGAGAGUAUCACAUGGUUCUGUCUUUAGCAUCUUGAAAAGAAGCAUCAUUGCAAUUUGUUGCCCACUUGGAUAGUACUCUCCUAGUCCCUAUGCAGUUCACAAGGGAUUGUCUUCUCAAUGUUUCUGAGAUAAGACGUCUCCACUUGCACCGUUUCUGUGAAUCUGUGAUGAUUUAGUGGUUGGCUCUCUUGCUUAUCCUCUAAACUCUAUGGUUGAAAUAAAUUUAAUAAUAACUUAAAGUAGGGACCUGUUGUUCCUGAACAACAGAACAGAAAACACAUGUUUUUGUCACUGGUUAAGUUAAUUCGGUAAUUUACACAUGACAAUUCUAAGUAAAACUAUUUCGGCCUUUGAGGUUUGCUAGAUAAAGAGAAAACAGAGCACAGAAGAUACAUUUGAUCAAAUGACUGAUAUUGUUACUUGAGUUGUAAGACUGAUAAAUAGUAAGACAUAAAUAUUGAAAGCUGAGAAUGCAUUCACUCCCUUGGAGAUGUAGUCUGGUUCUUCUAACUUUAGCUUUUAGAAUUUUGAUAAGAAAGAUAAUGGAGAAGCUGUUGUUACAAGAAACUGCCGGUUUUGUAAACUAUCGUAUUUGUUGGCACCAGUUUAACGGUAAAAGAGAGAAACUGAGAAAAUCUCGAAAAGGGUAAAAAGGACUUUCUAGCAGAUAAAUUGGUUAAGUUGAGCUACGGAUCCAUAUGAAAAUGCUCAUUUAAUUUGUUAAUGGCAACCAAAGUACAAAAUAUAUAGUUCUUUACUUGCUGUUGUCAUUUCUAUUUCAAUAAUCAAAUCUAAAGUGUAUUAAUUUAACACGAAUCAUGAUUGUGCCUAUAACUGAAAAAUGGUAUUUACUUUCAAAAAAUUUAGAACAACUUUUUCAAGAUGAAAGAGAAAAACGUUUCUCCUCUAUUUACAAAGAACAUGUCUAUCUCUAUCUCGAAGAACAAUAUGUUGGAUAAUCAUCGUUGAAGCCGGGAAGUCACAUUGAUGAAGAUAUCUUCAGGACAAGGGAUCGUUAAACCACCCAUUGGAUGAUCAAACCCAAACUCUUCUUCGGAUUUGCUGAGAAGAGCUUGAAAUGAAGGCUGGCUCAAGUAUGAGACUGGCACCACAUAUCUCUUCUUCUGACCCUCUCCUACGUACACAGCAAGAAACCCCUUUGGUGCCGCCGAGGUUGCACUUUUGCUUGUUGCUACUGAGAGGGAGCGGCCAAGAAUCUUCUUUGCACC